GGUGAAGUAGCUCAGUGGUAGAGCAGUGGAAUCAUAAUCCAUUGGUCGGGGGUUCAAAUCCCUCCUUCACUACCA
rnacentral:tRNA from 1 species